rnacentral:rRNA from 1 species
UGAGGAAUAUUGCACAAUGGGCGCAAGCCUGAUGCAGCAACGCCGCGUGCGGGACGAAGGCCUUCGGGUCGUAAACCGCUUUUCUGGGGAAAGAGCAAGGACGGUACCUCAGGAAUAAGUCUCGGCUAACUACGUGCCAGCAGCCGCGGUAAAACGUAGGAGGCGAGCGUUAUCCGGAUUUACUGGGCGUAAAGCGCACGCAGGCGGCUCUGUGAGUCGGACGUGAAAGCUCCCGGCUUAACCGGGAGAGGCCGUUCGAUACUGCG